rnacentral:rRNA from 1 species
ACGGUAAGGCCCUUCGGGGUACACGAGUGGCGAACGGGUGAGUAACGCGUGAGUAACCUGCCCUUCACUCUGGGAUAACAGUUGGAAACGGCUGCUAAUACCGGAUAUUCAGCUCCUGUCGCAUGGUGGGGGUUGGAAAGUUUUGGUGGUGGAGGAUGGGCUCGCGUCCUAUCAGCUUGUUGGUGGGGUGAUGGCCUACCAAGGCGUCGACGGGUAGCCGGCCUGAGAGGGCGACCGGCCACAUUGGGACUGAGAUACGGCCCAAACUCCUACGGGAGGCAGCAGUGGGGAAUAUUGCACAAUGGGCGGAAGCCUGAUGCAGCAACGCCGCGUGCGGGAUGACGGCCUUCGGGUUGUAAACCGCUUUCAGCAGGGACGAAGCGUGAGUGACGGUACCUGCAGAAGAAGCACCGGCUAACUACGUGCCAGCCCCCCGCGGUAAAAGCCAGCCAACGCGGGUAAA